CUGGGCUGGAUCCCCUCCUUUCU
rnacentral:rRNA from 1 species